ACGUUAAGUAACUUGCCUGAGGUCACCCAGCUAUUAAGUAGAAAAGUCAGGUUUCAAACUCAGGUCUGUGCAUCUGAUUCCAGAACCCAUACUCUGAACUACUGUCAACCAGUAGCCAAAGAGAAGAAAGAACAUCUGUAACUCCCUUGGUGCCAGCCUGCAGGGAUCUGCUCAGGAGCAAUCAGGAAAGAGCUGCCUAAUUCACACCCUUAACUCCCUGGCUGCUUCAAUUCUUCCCUCAGGCAGGUUGCUAAGAGAUACAAUGUCCUCAGGAAAGAGGGAGCCCUAAGUUUCCCCAGUUUUGUUAAUGUGAGAAAAGAUCAGAGAGUUUCCCCAAACAGUUCUGAGUUGGAUGACCCAGGGAUGGUUGGAGAUGCCAUGGAGCAGAGAAACAAAUACAGAAAGAAAUCAGUGUCGAGAAAAGCUAAAUUCCCAGUUUGCCAAGGCCUGGCUCUGCCUGGCACAGCCUUGCCAGGGUUCAGGGAGGAAACUGCCUUGGGCACCAGAAUCCACGUGCCUCUGCUCCCUGUCCCCCUCCCUGUCCUGCUCAGACACCCCUUCCCAGCCUCCCCAGCCUGCCCAGCCCCUGAUCAGAAUGCAGCAUCACAAUGGGCUGUUUUUAAUCCUUGCUAGAUCUCUUUUAUUUUUUUCUCCCUUUGCUGGGCUUCCUGGGCUGUAAUUUUUCCCUCUGUGUCAUCCAUCACAGACACAACCGUCGCUUGUGCAAAUUAAAAUGCACCUCAGAAUAAUAAAAAAGGGGCUUUCUUCCCCCCUCCUUUUCCUUCCCAGCAGCAACUCCUCAACACAAAACAUUUGUCUCUGGGCAAGAGCAGGAGCACUAAUUAACCCUGUGUGUGCCACCACCAGGCCCAUAUAGUCCCUGCAGCUGUGUGCCAGCAGCGAUCGGGGCUGAGGGGCAGCUGGAGAGUGGCAGGGAGAUGAGCCUGGUUCCCCAGACUUCACCGCGGUGCUUACCAUGUGCCUGGCACUGUCCAAACAUUGCCCCUUUAGUCCUCCCUACAACCUGUGGAGCAGGAACCAUUAUUAUCUUCAUUUGUAAAAUGCAGGAACUGCGGGUGGUUAAGUGACUUGACCAAUUAGUCAGUUUCAGCACUGUCUGACUCCAAAGUCCCUACUUUUUGCUACUCCAAGUGUGGUUACACACUACAUUUUGGGCUGGAUGACCCAAGUGUGGUUCCAUGGACGUGGUCCACAUGAUACCUUGGGCAUCACCUGGAAGUUGUUAGGAAUGCAGAAUUUCAGGCCCUAACUCAGACAUACUGAAUCAGAAUCCACAUUUUAACAAAAUACCCAGGCAAUUCAUGUGCACAUUGAAGUUUAAGAUCUGCUCCCCGUUCCUACCACCUUGAUGUCCCUUUUUUGACUUGCCAAGAAAAGCCCUUUUCUGGCGAUAGAUUAGGAGAUUCCAUGGACUCAGUUCAAGCAUCACCUCCUCCAAGAAGACAGGACCCAGAUGGACCUGACCAGGCCUUUCUACCUGGGCCUAUUUCCAUCACAGAUAACUAGAAACCCUGGAAAUUAUAUAGAAAAUAAUCCUAAGAAGACUCUGAAAGGUGGAAAGAAGGAGGCAGAUCAGCUACGGAGAUAGGACCCGAGAAACAAGAUGAUGGUCAGCCGGAGGCUCCACCUGGCGUCAUCACUCCAGGGGCCCAGUUGAUGGAGCAGCCGCCAUCUGCAUUAGUGCCGUUUGUGAAA